rnacentral:rRNA from 1 species
GACAGAGGUCUCAAGCGUUAGGCGGAAUCACUGGGCUUAAAGCGUGUGUAGGCGGAUCGUUAAGUGCUUUGUGAAAUCCCACAGCUCAACUGUGGAACUGCUUGGCAUACUGGCGGUCUUGAGCCAUCUAGGGGUCGCUGGAACAAACGGUGGAGCGGUGAAAUGCGUAGAUAUCUGGAGGAACACCGGUGGCGAAGGCGGCAUCCUGGACCGACACUGACGCUGAGGAGCGAAAGCCAGGGGAGCAAACGGG